UACGUAGGGUGCAAGCGUUAAUCGGAAUUACUGGGCGUAAAGCGUGCGCAGGCGGUCGCGUAAGCCAGAUGUGAAAUCCCCGGGCUCAACUUGGGAACUGCAUUUGGUACUGCGUGGCUGGAGUGCGGCAGAGGAAGGUGGAAUUCCUGGUGUAGCAGUGAAAUGCGUAGAGAUCAGGAGGAACACCGAUGGCGAAGGCAGCCUUCUGGACCAGCACUGACGCUCAUGCACGAAAGCGUGGGGAGCAAACAGG
rnacentral:rRNA from 1 species